ACCAGCUCCCUCUGAAUCCCCCAGGACGGGAACGUAGCAAGGGUAUGAGGUUGUAGCGGUGCGAUAU
rnacentral:SRP_RNA from 14 species